CCAGAGACUGCCCCACUUGGGGAUCCAUCCCAUAUGCAGCCACUAGCUUUGCAGACUGAAUAGCUGCCAGGUCCUAUCUUCAGCCUUCAGCUUUUCAUCAUUGGACCUACUCAGCCCUACUAUUUAAGCCAUUCAGAGCUGGAGUUACAGAAGACAAGCUGCCAGCAUGGUGCUGGGAAUCAAGCCCUCUGCCGUCAGUGUGGGCUCCGAUCCACUGAGCCAUCUCCCCACCCCACUUUGGCCUCUUAAUGAUGCUGAGCUGCCCUUGUCUUCCCAGAGCAAAUGCAAGCUCCCUGUGGGCUCUACAGU